UACGUAGGGUGCGAGCGUUGUCCGGAAUUAUUGGGCGUAAAGAGCUUGUAGGCGGUUUAUCGCGUCUGCUGUGAAAAUCCGGGGCUCAACCCCGGACUUGCAGUGGGUACGGGCAGACUAGAGUGUGGUAGGGGAGACUGGAAUUCCUGGUGUAGCGGUGAAAUGCGUAGAUACCAGGAGGAACACCGGUGGCGAAGGCGGCUUCCUGGCCGAGUACUGACGCUGAGGCACGAAAGCGUGGGGAGCGAACGGG
rnacentral:rRNA from 1 species